rnacentral:rRNA from 1 species
GAUGAACGCUGGCGGCGUGCCUAAUACAUGCAAGUCGAGCGAACAGAUGAGGAGCUUGCUCCUCUGACGUUAGCGGCGGACGGGUGAGUAACACGUGGAUAACCUACCUAUAAGACUGGGAUAACUUCGGGAAACCGGAGCUAAUACCGGAUAAUAUAUUGAACCGCAUGGUUCAAUAGUGAAAGACGGUUUUGCUGUCACUUAUAGAUGGAUCCGCGCCGCAUUAGCUAGUUGGUAAGGUAACGGCUUACCCAGGCAACGAUGCGUAGCCGACCUGAGAGGGUGAUCGGCCACACUGGAACUGAGACACGGUCCAGACUCCUACGGGAGGCAGCAGUAGGGAAUCUUCCGCAAUGGGCGAAAGCCUGACGGAGCAACGCCGCGUGAGUGAUGAAGGUCUUCGGAUCGUAAAACUCUGUUAUUGGGGAAGAACAAAUGUGUAAGUAACUAUGCAUGUCUUGACGGUACCUAAUCAGAAAGCCACGGCUAACUACGUG